rnacentral:rRNA from 1 species
CCUACGGGAGGCAGCAGUGGGGAAUUUUGGACAAUGGGCGAAAGCCUGAUCCAGCCAUGCCGCGUGCAGGAUGAAGGCCUUCGGGUUGUAAACUGCUUUUGUACGGAACGAAAAGACUCUGGUUAAUACCUGGGGUCCAUGACGGUACCGUAAGAAUAAGCACCGGCUAACUACGUGCCAGCAGCCGCGGUAAUACGUAGGGUGCAAGCGUUAAUCGGAAUUACUGGGCGUAAAGCGUGCGCAGGCGGUUAUAUAAGACAGAUGUGAAAUCCCCGGGCUCAACCUGGGAACUGCAUUUGUGACUGUAUAGCUAGAGUACGGUAGAGGGGGAUGGAAUUCCGCGUGUAGCAGUGAAAUGCGUAGAUAUGCGGAGGAACACCGAUGGCGAAGGCAAUCCCCUGGACCUGUACUGACGCCCAUGCACGAAAGCGUGGGGAGCAAACAGGAUUAGAUACCCUGGUAGUCCACGCCCUAAACGAUGUCAACUGGUUGUUGGGUCUUCACUGACUCAGUAACGAAGCUAACGCGUGAAGUUGACCGCCUGGGGAGUCGGCCGCAAGGUUGAAACUCAAAGGAAUUGACGGNNGAGAGNGCGAGACGACGACGAGGAGGAGG